rnacentral:rRNA from 1 species
AGUGAACGCUGGCGGUAGGCCUAACACAUGCAAGUCGAACGGCAGCACAGUAAGAGCUUGCUCUUACGGGUGGCGAGUGGCGGACGGGUGAGGAAUACAUCGGAAUCUACUUUUUCUUGGGGGACAACGUAGGGAAACUUACGCUAAUACCGCAUACUACCUACGGCUGAAAGCAGGGGAUCUUCGGACUUUGCGCGAUUGAAUGAGCCGAUGUCGGAUUAGCUAGUUGGCGGGGUAAAGGCCCACCAAGGCAACGAUCCGUAGCUGGUCUGAGAGGAUGAUCAGCCACACUGGAACUGAGACACGGUCCAGACUCCUACGGGAGGCAGCAGUGGGGAAUAUUGGACAAUGGGCGCAAGCCUGAUCCAGCCAUACCGCGUGGGUGAAGAAGGCCUUCGGGUUGUAAAGCCCUUUUGUUGGGAAAGAAAAGCAGCAGGUUAAUACCCCGCUGUUCUGACGGUACCCAAAGAAUAAGCACCGGCUAACUUCGUG